UUUUUGGAGAGUUUGAUCCUGGCUCAGGACGAACGCUGGCGGCGUGCCUAACACAUGCAAGUCGAACGGAAACAACCUCUAAGUUUACUUAGAGA
rnacentral:rRNA from 1 species